GACGAGGGGUCCUAGCGUUGUUCGGAAUCAUUGGGCGUAAAGCGUAGGUAGGUGGCUAUCUAAGUCAGGUGUGAAAUCCCCGGGCUCAACCCGGGAAGUGCAUUUGAUACUGGAUAGCUUGAGUAUGGGAGAGGAUAGUGGAAUUCCUGGUGUAGUGGUGAAAUACGUAGAUAUCAGGAGGAACACCGGUGGCGAAGGCGGCUAUCUGGCCCUAUACUGACGCUGAGCUACGAAAGCGUGGGGAUCAAACAGG
rnacentral:rRNA from 2 species